UGCGUCUCAGCGGCGAGCGCGGUUGCUAUGACGUCCGGGUCUCCGCCAGCACCUGCACCUUGCCGCUGAACGCCUAGGGACCAAGCGACCCCGGGACCCUCGCGGCACCCUCCGCAGGAAAAUUUCCGACUUGGUUCCUGCGGAGGAAAGCACCCAUUCUCCCCUCUUUUCCGCAUUCCGGGCCUUUUCCUCUUCUCUCCCCAGUAUGGCCCGAAACUACAGAAGGGGAGCCCCUCCUGGCCCGGCAUUUCUAGUCCCGGGCUUGAGUGAUUCCGCCUGAGGUAGGAUUCGCCCGUUUUCCCCGGAGCCAGCUGCCGCAAGCAUUUAGUGUUAGGCUGCCGCCCUUUAUUAGAGCGGGCCUAGAACACCCUCAGCGAGGGAAAAGCUCAAUUAGAAGACAUACUUCACCAUCUUGAAAAAGAAGACAUCAAUCCCCUUGCUACUAAAGAAGAACUCUGUUGGUGCUUAUUCCAGCCAGCACAGUGAAGAUGGGCUGAGGACUGCUACCAGAAAUGUAGAAGAGCUUAUAGUGAAUCACAUGGAAGAAACAAAAGAAGUAAGAACUAAUAACAUAUAGUUUUACAGACACCUGUGAUUUUGUUCAUUGCCCUUCAUUAAAUUGAUGUAUUAAAAACUAA